GUCGAGCGGUAAGGCCCUUCGGGGUACACGAGCGGCGAACGGGUGAGUAACACGUGGGUGAUCUGCCCUGCAUUUCGGGAUAAGCCUGGGAAACUGGGUCUAAUCCCGGAUAGGACCUCUUCCCGCAUGGUGGGGGGUGGAAAGGUUUACUGGUGCAGGAUGGGCCCGCGGCCUAUCAGCUUGUUGGUGGGGUAAUGGCCUACCAAGGCGACGACGGGUAGCCGACCUGAGAGGGUGACCGGCCACACUGGGACUGAGACACGGCCCAGACUCCUACGGGAGGCAGCAGUGGGGAAUAUUGCACAAUGGGCGAAAGCCUGAUGCAGCGACGCCGCGUGAGGGAUGACGGCCUUCGGGUUGUAAACCUCUUUCAGCGCCGACGAAGCGUAAGUGACGGUAGGCGCAGAAGAAGCACCGGCCAACUACGUGCCAGCAGCCGCGGUAAUACGUAGGGUGCAAGCGUUGUCCGGAAUUACUGGGCGUAAAGAGCUCGUAGGCGGUUUGUCGCGUCGUCUGUGAAAACUCGUAGCUCAACUACGGGCGUGCAGGCGAUACGGGCAGACUCGAGAGCUGCAGGGGAGACUGGAAUUCCUGGUGUA
rnacentral:rRNA from 1 species